GAUCCUGGCUCAGGAUGAACGCUAGCGACAGGCUUAACACAUGCAAGUCGAGGGGCAUCAUGAGGUAGCAAUACCUUGAUGGCGACCGGCGCACGGGUGAGUAACGCGUAUGCAACCUGCCUGAUACCGGGGUAUAGCCCAUGGAAACGUGGAUUAACACCCCAUAGUACUUUUAUCCUGCAUGGGAUGUGAGUUAAAUGUUUAAGGUAUCGGAUGGGCAUGCGUCCUAUUAGUUAGG
rnacentral:rRNA from 1 species